rnacentral:rRNA from 1 species
UGGCGCACGGGUGCGUAACGCGUGGGAAUCUGCCCUUGGGUUCGGAAUAACAGCGGGAAACUGCUGCUAAUACCGGAUGAUGACGUAAGUCCAAAGAUUUAUCGCCCAAGGAUGAGCCCGCGUAGGAUUAGCUAGUUGGUGAGGUAACGGCUCACCAAGGCUAUGAUCGUUAGCUGGUCUGAGAGGAUGGCCAGCCACACUGGAACUGAGACACGGUCCAG